CAGUCGUACCGACGAGAAAUCAACUCUUCGAAUGGGUAAUUGCGGGCGUAUGAGAGCUUCACGGCCUCAUCUUUUGCAAAUGCAUGUUUUUUGGGUGUACUUUUUCGUAUGGUUUGUCAGCGUCGGUUUCGAUUGCUAUAAAAUGAUCGGAGGAAUGUAGCUUCGACUUCGGUUGAAGUGUUAUAGCCUUUGGUAGAUGUAAUGAUCGAGAUCGAGGAUUGCAACGAAUACCCUUUGGGCUAUCCGUCUGAUCUCUGAUACGUUGCCUCGGUAACGAAAGCGUGCUUACGGUAUUGAGGUAUUACGGUCAAAAGGUUAGAACGUGAUUAAA
rnacentral:rRNA from 1 species